rnacentral:rRNA from 1 species
GAAAUGCGAUAAGUAAUGUGAAUUGCAGAAUUCAGUGAAUCAUCGAAUCUUUGAACGCACCUUGCGCUCCUUGGUAUUCCUCGGAGCAUGCCUGUUUGAGUAUCAUGAAAUCUUCAAAAUAAAUCUUUUGUUCACUCAAAUCGAUUUUAUUUUGGACUUGGAGGCUUGCAGAUUCACGUCUGCUCCUCUUAAAUGUAUUAGCUGGAUCUCAGUAUAUGCUCGGUUCCACUCGGCGUGAUAAGUAUCACUCGCUGAGGACACUGUUAAAAAAGGUGGCCGGGAAAUACAGAUGAACCGCUUCGAACAGUCCAUUCACUUGGACAAAUAAAGUUUUAAGAUCUGAUCUCAAAUCAGGUAGGACUACCCGCUGAACUUAAGCAUAUCAAUAAGCGG